UGACGCGCGCGAGCCUUCAGUCCGCUUCGGCACGCGCUCAGCUCGGAUCCGUCCAGAGCAACAUGCAGGAUGGCGAGUGUGGAGACAGCCGCCGAACACGAACGCAUCCUGCGGGAGAUCGAGAGCACCGACACCAACUGCAUCGGACCGACCCUCCGGUCGGUGUAUGACGGCCAGGAGCAUGGCCUCUUCAUGGAGAAGCUGGACGUGCGGAUCAGGAACCACGACCGCGAGAUCGAGAAGAUGUGCAACCACCACUUCCAGGGGUUCGUCGACUCCAUCACGGAGCUGCUCAAAGUCAGAGGGGAGGCACAGAAGCUGAAGAGUCAGGUGACCGAGACCAACGGGCGUCUUCAGGAUGACGGCAAAGAGCUCAUGGGCUCCAUGGAGGAGCUGCAGAAGUGCCGCGUGCAACAGAGGAACAUCGCCUCCACCAUAGACAAGCUGUCGCACUGCUUGCCAGUCCUGGAGAUGUACAGCAGACUUCAGGAGCAGAUGAGGGCCAAAAGGUACUACCCGGCGCUGCGGACCUUGGAGCUGCUGGAGCACACGUGUCUCCCCCGGGCGGGUCAGUACCGGUUCUGCUCCAUCAUGGCGGAAAACAUCCCCAUGCUGAGGACCCAGAUCCGGGACACGGCGAUGACGCAGCUGAGAGACUUCCUGGAGAGCAUCCGGAAACACUCGGACAAGAUCGGAGAGACGGCCAUCCGACAGGCCCAGAUGCAGCGCUCGCUGGACACGCAGCCGAGGGCCCCCAUUGGCCGGCGCAGCAGAAAGGAGGCGGCGGCGGCGGCGGCGGACGGCGGCGGGCAGCGCGGCAGUCCGGUGUCGGAACAGGACUCCGGCAUUCUGGAUGUGGAGGACGAAGAGGACGAUGAGGUGCCGGGUGCUCAGGACUUGGUGGAUUUCUCCCCCGUUUACCGCUGUCUGCACAUCUACACGGUGCUGGGUUUGCGUGACGUGUUUGAGAACUACUACAGGAAGCAGAGGAGGAAACAGGCUCGCCUCGUGCUGCAGCCGCACUCUAACAUGCAUGAAACUCUGGAGGGAUACAGGCGGUACUUCAAUCAGAUUGUCGGCUUCUUCGUGGUAGAGGACCACGUCCUUCACACCACCCAGGGUUUGGUCAACCGGGCGUACGUGGAGGAGCUGUGGGAGCUGGCGCUGUCCAAGCUCAUCGCCGCCCUGAGGACGCACUCUUCGUACUGCGACAACCCCGACCUGGUCCUGGAUCUGAAGAAUCUCAUUGUGCUUUUUGCAGACACGCUGCAGGGUUAUGGCUUCCCGGUGUCGCAGCUGUUCGACAUGCUGCUGGAGAUGAGGGAGCAGUACGGGGAAAUCCUGCUCAAGCGGUGGAACGUCACUUUCAGGCAGGUGUUGGACCAGGACAACUUCAGUCCAAUCCCCGUGUCCACGGAAGAGGAGUACAAACACUACACUGCCCAGUUUCCUCUGCAAGACCCCGAACUGGACAAGCUUCCUUUCCCCAAGAAGCUUCCCUUCUCAGAGUUUGUGCCAAAAGUCUACUGCCAGCUCAAAGAGUUCAUCUACGCUUGCCUGAAAUACUCUGAAGACCUUCAUCUCAGCUCCACCGAGGUGGAUGAUAUGAUCCGCAAGUCCACGAAUCUCCUGCUGACCAGAACGCUCAGCCACUGUCUGCAGUACGCCAUCAAGAAGAAGAAUGUCGGGCUGGCGGAGUUGGUGCAGGUGAUCAUAAACACCACGCACCUGGAGCAGAGCUGCCACUUCCUGGAGGAGUUCAUAUCGAACAUCACCAACGUCCCGCCCGACUCGGCCAACGCCACCAAGCUGUACGGGACCUCCACCUUCAAGGACGCUCGCCACGCGGCCGAGGCCGAGAUCUACACCAACCUCAACGCCAAGAUCGACCAGUUCCUGCAGCUGGCUAAUUACGAUUGGAUGGCCGCGGCGCCGGGAGGCGGGGCUCUGGAGGCCAGCGACUACCUGGUGGACCUGAUCGCUUUCCUGAAGAGCACCUUCAGCGUCUUCACCAACCUGCCUGGUAAAGUGGCCCAGACGGCCUGCAUGUCAGCCUGUAAACACAUCUCCACCUCCCUGACGGAGCUCCUGCUGGACCCGGAGGUCAGACAGAUCUCCAUCGGCGCUCUGCACCAGCUCAACGCCGACGUGCAGGAGUGCGAGGCUGCUGGAGCUCUUCACCCAGUGGGACUGGUCGGCCUACCUGGCUGAUUACGGCAAACCCAGCUGCAAAUACCUGAGGGUCAACCCGCACACGGCGCUGGUCCUGCUGGAGAAGUUAUUUAAGCCGUAAGUAUCCUCUGCUGUGUGUGUGUGUGUGUGUGUGUUCACAUGGUUAGACGCACGCACACCUGCCGCCUCCGAACGAUAAUCUUUGUGACGUGACGAUACCGAUGUUUAUCGCCACGGCAACGCCCGCAUUGUGUAGAUCCUGUGGAGAUAGCAACAAAGUACACACAGUUUUUGGAUCCAGUGCCUCCCCCCCUCCCCCCCUCCUCCCCCCUCCUCCUCCUCCAGAGGCCCGGUGGUCCCUCUGUCCCCCAGAGGAAGCACGCGCUGGGGCCCCCGGACCUCCUGGAGGUCCUUAACAGUCCAGUGUUCUGCGACCAAACACACAGCGUGUCAUGUGACACCGAGCGCGCACACACACACAUCCUUUUCUUCUCUAACGGGAUGUUGGACUAAUAAGUGCUGGUUUGUGUACUUACAGCAUUCAAACACGGAACGUUUACUGAGAUGUGGGAAUCGCUCAUUUAUGUCUACUUGCUCCUCUUUGUCCUACGUCCA